CUCUGUGUGCUCCUUGCUGGAGCUUUUGCCGCCCCCUCCAGGAAGCCCACCUUCCGCCGCGGUCUCAACAAGAUCGUCGGAGGAACUGACGCCAACCCGGAGAGCUGCCUUACCAGCUCAGCUUCCAGGACAUCUCCUUCGGCUUUGCCUGCCUUAUCAGCUCUCGAUUGUAGGUUAAACGCCUACAAUGGCUAUCACGGGUAACGGGGAAUCAGGGUUCGAUUCCGGAGAGGGAGCCUGAGAAACGGCUACCACAUCUAAGGAAGGCAGCAGGCGCGCAAAUUACCCACUCCCGGCACGGGGAGGUAGUGACGAAAAAUACUGUUGCGAGCCCCGAACGGGGCCUCGCAAUUGGAAUGAGUACACUUUAAAUCCUUGUACGAGGAUCGAGUGGAGGGCAAGUCUGGUGCCAGCCGCCGCGGUAAUUCCAGCUCCACUAGCGUAUAUUAAAGUUGUUGCGGUUGAAACGCUCGUAGUUUGACUUCUGCUCCGGACCGGCGGUCCGCCUUAGCGGCGGCUACUGCCGGGUUCCGAGCUGUGUCCCCGCCGGCGCACAUGGGGUUUUUAUGCCCUUAACCGGGUGUCCCCUUGUGGCCGGCACGUUUACUUUGAAAAAAUUAGAGUGCUCAGAGCAGGCUGGUUUUUGCUUACAGCCCGAAUGGUCGUGCAUGGAAUGAUGGAACAGGACCUCGGUUCUAUUUUGUCGGUUUUUCGGAACCCGAGGUAAUGAUUAAUAGAAGCAGACGGGGGCAUUCGUACUGCGACGCUAGAGGUGAAAUUCUUAGACCGUCGCAUGACGACCUACUGCGAAAGCAUCUGCCAAGGAUGUUUUCAUUGAUCAAGAACGAAAGUUAGAGGUUCGAAGGCGAUCAGAUACCGCCCUAGUUCUAACCUUAAACGAUGCUGACUAGCGAUCCGCCGCAGUUAUUCCAUGACCCGGCGGGUAGCUUCCGGGAAACCAACGAGAACUGGGCCAUCUGCGCCGGCCACUGCGUCCAGGGCGAGGACAUGAACAACCCCGAUUACCUUCAGGUCGUUGCCGGAGAACUUAACCAGGAUGUGGAUGAGGGCACCGAGCAGACGGUCAUCCUCUCCAAGAUCAUCCAACACGAGGACUACAACGGCUUCACCAUCAGCAACGACAUCUCCCUGCUCAAGCUGUCUCAGCCUCUGAGCUUCAAUGACAACGUUCGCGCCAUCGAUAUUCCCGCUCAGGGUCACGCUGCCUCUGGCGACUGCAUCGUGUCCGGCUGGGGCACCACCUCCGAGGGAGGAAGCACCCCCAGUGUCCUGCAGAAGGUGACCGUUCCCAUCGUGUCUGACGACGAGUGUCGCGAUGCUUAUGGCCAGAGCGACAUUGAGGACUCCAUGAUCUGUGCCGGAGUGCCCGAGGGCGGCAAGGACUCGUGCCAGGGUGACUCUGGCGGCCCCCUUGCCUGCUCUGACACCGGCUCCACCUACCUGGCCGGCAUCGUGUCCUGGGGCUACGGCUGUGCCCGUCCCGGCUACCCUGGCGUGUACGCUGAGGUCUCCUACCAUGUCGAUUGGAUUAAGGCCAAUGCUGUUUAAUCAAGUUGUUUAACAUGUACUUACCUUGAAA
rnacentral:rRNA from 1 species